rnacentral:rRNA from 1 species
AUAUUGGUCAAUGGGCGGGAGCCUGAACCAGCCAAGUCGCGUGAGGGAAGACGGCCCUAUGGAUUGUAAACCUCUUUAGGCGGGGAGCAAUGCCGGGCACGCGUGCCCGGAGGGAGAGUACCCGCAGACUAAGCAUCGGCGAACUCCGUGCCAGCAGCCGCGGUAAUACGGAGGAUGCGAGCGUUACCCGGAUUCAUUGGGUUUAAAGGGUGCGUAGGCGGGCUGUUAAGUCAGCGGUAAAAUGUCGGGGCUCAACCCCGGCCUGCCGUUGGAACUGGCGGCCUCGAGUGGGCGAGAAGUAUGCGGAAUGCGUGGUGUAGCGGUGAAAUGCAUAGAUAUCACGCAGAACUCCGAUUGCGAAGGCAGCAUACCGGCGCCCUACUGACGCUGAGGCACGAAAGCGUGGGUAUCGAACAGG